UACGUAGGGUGCAAGCGUUGUCCGGAAUUAUUGGGCGUAAAGAGCUUGUAGGCGGUCUGUCGCGUCUGCUGUGAAAACUCAGGGCUUAACCCUGAGCUUGCAGUGGGUACGGGCAGACUAGAGUGCGGUAGGGGAGACUGGAAUUCCUGGUGUAGCGGUGAAAUGCGCAGAUAUCAGGAGGAACACCGGUGGGCGAAAGGCGGGGUCUCUUGG
rnacentral:rRNA from 1 species